UCCAGCUCCAAUAGCGUAUAUUAAAGUUGUUGUGGUUAAAAAGCUCGUAGUUGGAUCUCGGCGGACUGAGGGCGGUUUGCUUGCUAGUAUUACUGCCCUAUAGUCCGUAGUUUUGCCAGAGGUUUCGGGGUGCUCUUAAUCGAGUGUCCCGGGAUGCUGGCAGGUUUACUUUGAAAAAAUUAGAGUGCUCAAAGCAGGCUAUUACGCCUGAAUAUUCGUGCAUGGAAUAAUAGAAUAGGAAGUCGUUUCUAUUUUGUUGGUUUUCGGAAAUCGACUUAAUGAUUAAUAGGGACAGUCGGGGGCAUUUGUAUUCAAACGACAGAGGUGAAAUUCUUGGACCGUUUGAAGACAAACUACUGCGAAAGCAUUUGCCAAGAAUGUUUUCAUUAAUCAAGAACGAAAGUUAAAGGUUCGAAGGCGAUUAGAUACCGCCCUAGUUUUAACCAUAAACGAUGCCAGCUAGCGAUCUGCGGACGUUUUUUUUGUAGACUCCGCAGGAAGCUUCCGGGAAACCAAAGCAUUUGGGUUCCAGGGGAAGUAUGGUUGCAAAGCUGAAACUUAAAGGAAUUGACGGAAGGGCACCACCAGGAGUGGAGCCUGUGGCUUAAUUUGACUCAACACGGGAAAUCUCACCAGGCCCGGACACUGGAAGGAUUGACAGAUUGAUAGCUCUUUCUUGAUUCGGUGGGUGGUGGUGCAUGGCCGUUCUUAGUUGGUGGAGUGAUUUGUCUGGUUAAUUCCGAUAACGAACGAGACUCUGUCCUGCUAAAUAGUGUCUGCUUCUCUUUUGAGCAGACAAUUCUUCUUAGAGGGACUGGCGACUCUUAGUCGCACGAGAUUGAGCAAUAAC
rnacentral:rRNA from 1 species